rnacentral:pre_miRNA from 1 species
GAUUUGAACUGAAAAAGUCAUCAAUAACAAAGUGGUAUAACACAUCAAGAUCUAUAACUUUUAUUUGGGUCAUUUCCACAUCCGACAAAGUGAUUUGUAAUAUUGUUCACAAAAUGGACAUAUCUUUUAUAUAGUUUAUAAACUAUAAGAGAGAUAUGUAAAUUUUGUGAACAAUAUUACUAUUACUUGGUCGGAUGAAUAAAUGACCAAAAUAAAAGUUAUAGAUAUUGAUGAGUUAUACAACUUUGUUGUUGAUGACUUUUUCAGUUGAAAUC